CGGAACGGGUGAGUAAUGCGUGACCAACCUGCCCCAUGCUCCAGAAUAGCUCUUGGAAACGGGUGGUAAUGCUGGAUGCUCCAACUUGACGCAUGUCUUGUUGGGAAGGUGUUUAGUGGCAUGGGAUGGGGUCGCGUCCUAUCAGCUUGUAGGCGGGGUAAUGGCCCACCUAGGCUUCGACGGGUAGCCGGCCUGAGAGGGCGGACGGCCACAUUGGGACUGAGAUACGGCCCAGACUCCUACGGGAGGCAGCAGCC
rnacentral:rRNA from 1 species